UACGGAAGGCAGCAGUGGGGAAUAUUGCACAAUGGGCGCAAGCCUGAUGCAGCCAUGCCGCGUGUAUGAAAAAGGCCUUCGGGUUGUAAAGUACUUUCAGUCGUGAGGAAGGUGUUAAGGUUAAUAACCUUAGCAAUUGACGUUAGCGACAGAAGAAGCACCGGCUAACUCCGUGCCAGCAGCCGCGGUAAUACGGAGGGUGCGAGCGUUAAUCGGAAUUACUGGGCGUAAAGGGCACGCAGGCGGUUAAUUAAGUUGGAUGUGAAAUCCCCGGGCUUAAACCUGGGAAUGGCAUUCAAGACUGGUUAGCUAGAGUCUUGUAGAGGGGGUAGAAUUCCAUGUGUAGCGGUGAAAUGCGUAGAGAUGUGGAGGAAUACCGGUGGCGAAAGGCGGCCCCUGGACAAAGACUGACGCUCAUGUGCGAAAAGCGUGGGGAGCAAAACAGGGAUUAGAUACC
rnacentral:rRNA from 1 species